UACGUAGGGGGCGAGCGUUGUCCGGAUUUAUUGGGCGUAAAGAGCGUGUAGGCGGUUCGGUAAGUCUGUCGUGAAAUCCUGAGGCUCAACCUCGGGCGUGCAGUCGAUACGGGCAAACUAGAGUACUGCAGGGGAGACUGGAAUUCCUGGUGUAGCGGUGAAAUGCGCAGAUAUCAGGAGGAACACCGGUGGCGAAGGCGGGUCUCUGGGCAGUAACUGACGCUGAGGAGCGAAAGCGUGGGGAGCGAACAGG
rnacentral:rRNA from 1 species